rnacentral:lncRNA from 1 species
CUUACGGAUGAGACUCCAAGAAUUCAACCAAAAUAAUUCCUUAUCAUCUUAGCAACGUGAGUUGCUUCAAUAUUUCCUUCAAAACGUGAGAUUUCAAGGCUCUUCAGGAAUUCAAAGUAUGAUAUUCCAUAACGUCUUCAACACUUCAAAAACCUGAGAUUUCAGAGCAUCUUAAUUAACAUGAGAUUUUACAAUAUUAAGGGAAUACAGUGCAAUCUUUCUCAAGAGAAUCGACUCAGGUAUGUUAAGGUUAUCCCUUCUUUCUUUUUGGCAUGAUCCAAAUAAUACAAAUGAAACGAGCAAAAUACGCAACUUCCAUAAAUGACUCCAUUCAUAGAAAUACUAGGGGUGUCUAUAUUCUUGAUUCCCCAAGUGAAUUAUUAUUAUAUCUUCCGUUCAUGGGUCUCAGAAAAAUACGUAUUUGAUAAAGUUUAUCCGACAUGCAUAUUAUUUUUAUGACAUUUCGAAAAAUCUUAUUAACGUAUUUCUUAUGCAUUUUAUGUAUUUAUACAUAUACAUUUACCAAUGACCAGAAGGCGUUAUAUACGCAUAUAUUAUAUGUAAUGGGAUAUGAAAAAGGUUAAGGCGUUAUAUGCGCACCACCACCUGAUGAGCUGGUAUACGUUGAUGAUGUUGCCACAAUGGCUGAAAUGAUAUGAUGGGAUGCCCUCAGAGGCUUGAUGAUAUUAUGAACACAUAUACCCAUACAUGGUAUGACAUUUAUAUGAAUAUGCAUGAAAUUAUAAAAAUGAAAUGAUUCACAGAGCUAUACAGACGUACAUGUCGAGUCUUUUACUCCAUGUUUCUCUCAUGUCUAUUAUUUACUAAUUUUUAUUCCUUACAUACUCGGUACAUUAUUUGUACUGACGUCUCUUUUGCCUGGGGACGCCGCGUUUCAUGCUCGCAUGUCUCGAUAGACAGGUCGAGAGUCCUCCAAGUAGGCGAUCAGCUCAGCAGAAGAUAUUGGUGCACUCUAUUUGCUUCGGAGUUGCUUGUUUGGUCAGUAUGAUUUAGAUGUAUAUGGUUUGGUAUGGCGGGCCUCUGUCCCGACCUUUAUGACAGUUAUAUAUUCUUAGAGGCUUGUAGACAGAUGUCAUGCAUAUGAAAGAUUGUACGGCCUUGUCGGCCUAUGUUUUGAG